rnacentral:misc_RNA from 1 species
AGCAGCUGCAACCAUCCCACAAUGUGCAUAACCUAAAACUAAGUUGCUGACUCCUCCCUCAUGCACAACAGUAUGAUGAAAUGGCACAACAGCUCCGGUAACAGCCGUCAAAGUAUCCUUGACACUAUGCGUCCCACGAAUAAGUAAAAGGAAAUAUUUUGUCUUGUGAUCAACUAAAAUUGUAAAAGCUGGCUUCAAUAUUCCUGCUUUAGGUUCUUGAAGAAGAACAUUUUCUUCAGUAUGUCCUGUCUCCUCCAAAAAUAAAGGAAAUGG